rnacentral:rRNA from 1 species
UAGAGUUUUGAUUCAGGCUCAGAUUGAACGCUGGCGGCAGGCCUAACACAUGCAAGUCGAGCGGUAGCACAGAGAGCUUGCUCUCGGGUGACGAGCGGCGGACGGGUGAGUAAUGUCUGGGAAACUGCCUGAUGGAGGGGGAUAACUACUGGAAACGGUAGCUAAUACCGCAUAAUGUCGCAAGACCAAAGUGGGGGACCUUCGGGCCUCAUGCCAUCAGAUGUGCCCAGAUGGGAUUAGCUAGUAGGUGGGGUAACGGCUCACCUAGGCGACGAUCCCUAGCUGGUCUGAGAGGAUGACCAGCCACACUGGAACUGAGACACGGUCCAGACUCCUACGGGAGGCAGCAGUGGGGAAUAUUGCACAAUGGGCGCAAGCCUGAUGCAGCCAUGCCGCGUGUGUGAAGAAGGCCUUCGGGUUGUAAAGCACUUUCAGCGGGGAGGAAGGCGAUAAGGUUAAUAACCUUGUCGAUUGACGUUACCCGCAGAAGAAGCACCGGCUAACUCCGUGCCAGCAGCCGCGGUAAUACGGAGGGUGCAAGCGUUAAUCGGAAUUACUGGGCGUAAAGCGCACGCAGGCGGUCUGUCAAGUCGGAUGUGAAAUCCCCGGGCUCAACCUGGGAACUGCAUUCGAAACUGGCAGGCUAGAGUCUUGUAGAGGGGGGUAGAAUUCCAGGUGUAGCGGUGAAAUGCGUAGAGAUCUGGAGGAAUACCGGUGGCGAAGGCGGCCCCCUGGACAAAGACUGACGCUCA